rnacentral:rRNA from 1 species
GACGAACGCUGGCGGCGUGCUUAACACAUGCAAGUCGAACGGAAAGGCCCUGCUUUUGUGGGGUGCUCGAGUGGCGAACGGGUGAGUAACACGUGAGUAACCUGCCCUUGACUUUGGGAUAACUUCAGGAAACUGGGGCUAAUACCGGAUAGGAGCUCCUGCUGCAUGGUGGGGGUUGGAAAGUUUCGGCGGUUGGGGAUGGACUCGCGGCUUAUCAGCUUGUUGGUGGGGUAGUGGCUUACCAAGGCUUUGACGGGUAGCCGGCCUGAGAGGGUGACCGGCCACAUUGGUACUGAGAUACGGCCCAGACUCCUACGGGAGGCAGCAGUGGGGAAUAUUGCACAAUGGGCGGAAGCCUGAUGCAGCAACGCCGCGUGCGGGAUGACGGCCUUCGGGUUGUAAACCGCUUUCGCCCGGGACGAAGCGUGAGUGACGGUAAUGGGUAAAGAAGCACCGGCUAACUACGUG